UCCUUCUCUUCCCUUCUGCUGUGCGAAGCGGAGCACCCCAAACCCUAAUAGAUCUAUUUUUAAUUCGGAUCUUACCAUGUCCUGUGCAAAAUCGGAUCUAUUUUUAACGUACUAGCUUGCAAAAUCGACUUUACAAGCAACACUCGCAUGAUUGAAUAUGGACGCUAGGGGAGCUGGAUGACUGUAUCAGCACAUGCAAGAUGGUCUGGUGAUUGGGACUCAGUUUUGUUAGGGUAGAUUAGAGAUGCAUGUGGGCCUGGGAACAACUAAUUGUGCAGCCAUUCAAGCAUCUUUGCCUCUAUCUUAAUGACAACUGGUUAGUAGUCUUUUGCAUUGUAGCUAGGCUUGAUAGAAUAAUCUAAAGUCCUAGAUUUUGCAAGUAGCAGGACAAAUGUCCUGCAGAUCUGAGUACCAAUCAAGCAAUAUAUAUCAGUGUGCAGUACAUUCUUCUUUUGCAAAUGUUACCGAGGUUGAUACAGUGUUGUAAUAUGCUUCAACAAUAUCCCUCUGUCCUGCUGCUGCUUAGCUGGUUUUGCUGCAGUGCUGUAACAAGCAUCCAGGGUGCACAUAAUCUAGCUGACAUUGAAGUUACAGACCAACAACUUACCACACAUAAGAGCUACGGAUUCGGCAUUUUUGUUUUUGCUUACACACAACCUUGGAGUGGUAUAUUGGUACACACCAUAAUCCUAUAGUACAGAGAACUUCCCUACUAGUAUUUGAUUUAGUCAUGACUCAUGAGAAUUGUAUUAGGUGAUACCUGUUCGUGUAUGAGUGCCAAUGCCAUUGUGUUUGAUUGUCAAACAGACUUUCAGUUGCAAUUCGUGUGGAAGGUGGAUUGUCUGAUCUGAUUAUUAGAAAAUUGGGUUGGACUCUACAUGUCAAGAAAGUAUGGCACCAGGAAGCAAGGCAGAGAGAAAAGCAGCAUUAGAUGCUGGGGGAUGGAUGUUCAAUGUUGCAACAUCAGUUAGUAUCAUCAUGGUCAACAAAGCCUUGAUGGAAACACAUGGUUUUAGUUUUGCUACAACACUGACUGGACUUCACUUUGCAACCACAACCUUGAUGACACAAGUAAUGAAAUGGCUUGGAUAUAUUCAGCCAUCCUAUCCAUCGUUGGGAUGAAUGUUAGUUUGAUGUGGAACUCUAUGGGAUUCUAUCAGGUGAAGACAGUAACUAGCUUCUCUGUUGUUGACUAGGUAGUUGUUGUGUACUAGCUACUUGAUAGCUAUUCUGUUGAUUAAAUUGUAAUUGGUGCAUUCUAUGAGAUGACAUGAGUUGGAAUUAAUAUGGAUAAGUUGAUCAGUACAAAUGAUUUGUAUCAAUAAUAAGAAUUGUUGGUCUGUUUAUAUUGUGAUAUUACUGAAGAAAAUGAGCUUA